rnacentral:sRNA from 10 species
UCAAAGGAUGUUGGAGUCAACAUCUGCCACCCCAUUGAUCACCAGAGUUGAUUUGGCUGAUCUGGCUGGUUAUGUGGGUGUCCCCUUCCUCCCUCACCACUCAAUGUGCAUUCCUCCCAAAGCUGCCCGCUCAGUCAAAGAAGACAACUUUUACCGAUAGUAGACUUGUAGGAGGGUACACAGAAUGUUGUAAGGGUGUUGUCAAGUUUUAAUGUUUAAUGUGUCAAGUUUAUUGUAUUUUUCAUGAUAAAAAUAAUAAAACUCA